rnacentral:tRNA from 1 species
UGGGGUGUGGCUCAGGGGUAGAGCGCUCGCCUGGCAUGCCGAGCGUGAGGCACUGGGUUCAAUCCUCAGCACCACAC